GGUUUUUAGAAGUUAUUAAAAAUCAAGCCUGCUCAAUGCUUAGUAAAUAGCCGCGGUAUCCUGACCGUGCAAAGGUAGCAUAAUCAUUAGCCUUAUAAUUGAAGGCUAGAAUGAAUGGUUUAACUAAAUUACUUUGUCUUAUAAUAAUACCUCAAAUUUUAUAUUUCAGUAAAAAAGCUGAAAUUUACUUUAGGGACAAGAAGACCCUAUUGAGCUUUACAAAAUAAAUUUAUUUACUCAUAAAAUAAACUUAUUUUGUUUUACUGGGGCAGUAGGAAAUAAAAAUUUUUUCUAGAUAUUGUGAAUAUUUUUCUUGCCAAAUCAAAAAAUUUUUAAUAAAAAAUAAGUUACCGUAGGGAUAACAGCGUUAUUUUUCUUCAGAGAACAUAUCUACAGAAAAGUUUGCGACCUCGAUGUUGGAUUAAGAAUCCUUUUUUACGCAGUAGUAAAAAAAGGGAGUCUGUUCGACUUUUAAAAUCUUCCA
rnacentral:rRNA from 1 species